GACGAACGCUGGCGGCGUGCCUAAUACAUGCAAGUUGAGCGCUGAAGGUUGGUACUUGUACCAACUGGAUGAGCAGCGAACGGGUGAGUAACGCGUGGGGAAUCUGCCUUUGAGCGGGGGACAACAUUUGGAAACGAAUGCUAAUACCGCAUAAAAACUUUAAACACAAGUUUUAAGUUUGAAAGAUGCAAUUGCAUCACUCAAAGAUUAUCCCGCGUUGUAUUAGCUAGUUGGUGAGGUAAAGGCUCACCAAGGCGAUGAUACAUAGCCGACCUGAGAGGGUGAUCGGCCACAUUGGGACUGAGACACGGCCCAAACUCCUACGGGGAGCAGCAGUAGGGAAUCUUCGGCAAUGGACGAAAGUCUGACCGAGCAAAGCCGCGUGAGUGAAGAAGGUUUUCGGAUCGGAAAAAUCUGUUGGUAGAGAAGAACGUUGGUGAGAGUGGAAAGCUCAUCAAGUGACGGUAACUAACCAGAAAGGGACGGCUAACUACGUG
rnacentral:rRNA from 1 species